UUACAUGGGCAACUAGAGCGUCCGCCUGCUCGCGUACAUCCUGCCAGUGGUCUCCGCUCUGGGUUGGUCAUUCGCUCGAAGUCUGCUCGACAUAUCGCCUCCCCCAAUUUAUGUGGUCUUUCUAUUGGAUUUCUUAUGGAUUCCAUGUGUUGGUCGCUCAAGGAAUGUCCCCCAAAUUUUCUGGUCUUUCAAUUGGAUUUUCGAUUUUCCCAUAUUUUCAAUGGGCGAUGGCAAGAACUAUAGAAGAUUUGCCAAGGAUGUCUAAUAGCUGCAGGAAAAUUUUGAACUGCAUUUCUCCUAUAAGCAGCCUCCGCAGCCUACAGGCGCUAGGUGAGAGAGAAACCAAAAAUUCUGCAAGCAGAGGAUUUACAGAGAAAGUGACACAGUUUACUGAAAGUAGGUGAUGAGGUGAAAGCAUGUAAUUCUUUCACUCUACGCCAUAUUAGUUUCUCUAACUUUCUCUUUGUUUCUUUUGAUCCUG